rnacentral:rRNA from 1 species
UACGUAGGGUGCAAGCGUUGUCCGGAAUUAUUGGGCGUAAAGAGCUCGUAGGCGGUUUGUCGCGUCGAAUGUGAAAACCCGGGGCUCAACCCCGGGCCUGCAUUCGAUACGGGCAGACUAGAGUUCGGUAGGGGAGUCUGGAAUUCCUGGUGUAGCGGUGAAAUUCGCAGAUAUCAGGAGGAACACCGGUGGCGAAGGCGGGACUCUGGGCCGAUACUGACGCUGAGGAGCGAAAGCGUGGGGAGCAAACAGG